rnacentral:rRNA from 1 species
UACGAAGGGGGCUAGCGUUGCUCGGAAUCACUGGGCGUAAAGCGCACGUAGGCGGCUCGUUAAGUCGGAGGUGAAAUCCUGGAGCUCAACUCCAGAACUGCCUUCGAUACUGGCGAUCUUGGAGUCCGGGAGAGGUGAGUGGAACUCCGAGUGUAGAGGUGAAAUUCGUAGAUAUUUGCAAGAACACCAGUGGCGAAGGCGGCUCACUGGCCCGGUACUGACGCUGAGGUGCGAAGGCCAGGGGAGCAAACGGG